rnacentral:rRNA from 1 species
GACGAGCGCUGGCGGCGUGCUUAAUACAUGCAAGUCGAACGGAAAGGCGCUGCUUUUGUUGGUUGCUCGAGUGGCGAACGGGUGAGUAACACGUGAGUAACCCGCCCUUGUCUUUCGGAUAACUUUUGGAAAAAGGGGCUCAUAUCGGGUAGGAUCUCCUGCUGCGUGGUGGGGGAUGGUAAGAUUCGGCGGUUUGGGAUGGACUCGCUGCUUAUCAGCUUCUUUGGGGAGUAGGGGCUGACCAGGGUUUUGACGGAUAGGCGGCAUGAGAGAGUGACCGGCCACAUUGGUACUGAGAGACGGCCCAGACUCCAACGGGAGGCAGCAGGGGAAAAUAUUGCACAAUGGGCGGAAGCCUGAUGCAGCGGCGCCGCGUGCGGGAAGACGGCCUUCGGGUUGUGAACCACUUUCGCAGGUAACGAAGCGUGCGUGACGGUAAUGGGUAAAGAAGCACCGGCUAACUACGUG